AUUGAACGCUGGCGGAAUGCUUUACACAUGCAAGUCGAACGGCAGCACGGACUUCGGUCUGGUGGCGAGUGGCGAACGGGUGAGUAAUGUAUCGGAACGUGCCCAGUCGUGGGGGAUAACGUAGUGAAAAUUACGCUAAUACCGCAUACGAUCUAUGGAUGAAAGCGGGGGAUCGCAAGACCUCGCGCGAUUGGAGCGGCCGAUAUCAGAUUAGGUAGUUGGUGGGGUAAAGGCCCACCAAGCCAACGAUCUGUAGCUGGUCUGAGAGGACGACCAGCCACACUGGAACUGGGACACGGUCCAGACUCCUACGGGAGGCAGCAGUUGGGAAUUUUGGACAAUGGGCGAAAGCCUGAUCCAGCCAUUCCGCGUGCAGGAUGAAGGCCCUCGGGUUGUAAACUGCUUUUGUACAGAACGAAAGGGUUUCUACUAAUACUAGGAGCUCAUGACGGUACUGUAAGAAUAAGCACCGGCUAACUACGUGCCAGCCGCCGCGGUAA
rnacentral:rRNA from 1 species